UGCGAAGCUUCUCGUACCAUUAAACUAACAGUGUCGGAAUAAUCAACAACAUCGAUGGAUCGUUCUCCAUCACGUGGUAAACUUUUAUUCGAGGAAAUCGAGCUACUGUUCUCCUCGCUGCAGUCAUGUUUAAACACGCUAUCAGAUUGCGAGUGAGUUGGAGUAGAUAAUUCGGAAACUAACGGCGUGGACUCAUCCUCGCUCUCUCCUGGAGCAGGCGAGACAGGUCGAAGUUGAACAUCGUUUCUUCAUAGGUGUAGAGAUAGCCGAUUUCAUGGGUAUAUUAUUAGCUACAUAGUAUUCAUCUGUUGAUUUGGAUCUGAAGGCGGGUCUGGGAGAAGGCGGAGGAGACACAAAAAGCGACGCUGGUCUACUACUGAUAGAAUUGCCUCCACUCUUUCUUAGCUCUUUACGUCCGAACGAACAAGCCGAUCUGGUGCUAAGUUGAGAUGUAAUACUACGUUGAGAGUUCGUACGUUGAAGAUGUACUGUCGACUCGAACGAGCUGUCGUCUGACGUCUCUGGUUCAUCGUUGACUGGUACCCAGUGUAGAAGUGGAUUAGAUUGAAGAAUCACGUAAUCUGUAUCUUGAGGGGCCAUCGAAAUGGAUCCUAAAACAAAUCUUCAUAUUAUCCAGUUUUUCCUUUUUGGUCACACGAGAUGCAUUAAAUUAACCCAGUCUCUCGUAACGCGUUGGCACAUUUUCAAAAAUUUGACACAUGUAGAGUCAAUAGUAGGAUGAAGGUGAUAAUAAUUCUUUUAAUUUCUAUCAUAUAUAUUAUACUUAAAAUAUAUAUGUAUAUAAAUAAAUUAGAUUUUUAUUGAC